GUGUUGCGGCACUUCCCAAAGACAUUAUAAAAAUUUCUGCGGGUUAUCAUCAUUCUUGUGCUAUCACAGUUGAUGGUGAACUAUAUAUGUGGGGAAAGAACUCAAAUGGACAGCUUGGCCUCG